rnacentral:lncRNA from 1 species
GAGGAAGUGUGUGCAGCAAGAUAGCCAUGAUGGAUUGGAGCUUGGGAGGUUUAGCUGUUGCUGGAUUGCUGAUGGUUGUAUGAAGAGGCCUCUGUGCAUUGUGGCAUGUCUGGAGUAGAGCUGGCCAUAUUCAUUUCAAAGCAUGUGCUCACUUGAGAAACCCUGAUAAAACUUUUAUGCAGGUCAUGAGGUAAAAGUGUUGGUGCACAAUUGAAAUCCUCCAACAGUUUCUGUGCAACUUUU